UGGCUGGGCGGCGGCACCUAUGGGGAAGUCUUCAAGGCUCGAGACAAGGUGACGGGGGACCUGGUGGCACUGAAGAUGGUGAAGAUGCAGCCUGAUGAUGAUGUUUCUACACUUCAGAAGGAAAUCCUCAUCUUGAAAACUUGUCGGCAUGCCAACAUCGUGGCCUACCAUGGGAGUUAUCUCUGGUGAUGAGCUUAAGACCUGCCCUGGGACCCAGCCCAGCCCCUACCCCCGAACUCCCAUUCCUGACGAGGGUACCCCCUACCCUGACCUCAAUCAUGGAUCCUCAUUUUUAACUGGGGCACCCCUAACUGGAUCUCCAAGUCAAAGUCCCACUUCUCUGACCAAAGGAUCCCCAAAUCUAAUCUCCAAUCCAGAACUCCCAUUUCUUACAAGGGGUCCCCAAAACGGAUCCCUUUGUAGUAACCAAACCUGAACCAAGUCCCCUAAAACCAAUCUUUCAUACUCCUGCUCAUCGGGUCCCCCGGUUUCACUUUCUGUUCCUUUAAUAUGAACCCCUAAAUUCCCUGACCCUCAAACUAAUAUCCCAGGUACCUCAAUAAUGACUUCUGUUCCCUAUACCUGGCACCCUGGCCUCCUCUGUCGCCUCCGAACUUUCACAGCCUGUGAAGUCUCUACCCUGUCUUCCAGAUUAGUGUGGAACAGCAGAGGUGCUUUGGCUUA